UGAACUCAACCUCUGUACGGAUUCUGUAA
rnacentral:piRNA from 1 species